rnacentral:rRNA from 1 species
ACAGAGGGUGCGAGCGUUAAUCGGAUUUACUGGGCGUAAAGCGUGCGUAGGCGGCUGAUUAAGUCGGAUGUGAAAUCCCUGAGCUUAACUUAGGAAUUGCAUUCGAUACUGGUCAGCUAGAGUAUGGGAGAGGAUGGUAGAAUUCCAGGUGUAGCGGUGAAAUGCGUAGAGAUCUGGAGGAAUACCGAUGGCGAAGGCAGCCAUCUGGCCUAAUACUGACGCUGAGGUACGAAAGCAUGGGGAGCAAACAGG